AUGACUGGAAAUUCAUUUAUUAUCCAGGAAAGCCGUUUACUUAUUUGGGUACAAAUUACAAAUACAGGUUCCAAUUAUUCCUAGCAGCUUUAACCUCCUGAAUCUUAUCACUGACUGGCAAUCCAGCCAACGACACUCCUCAGAUGAUGCUUCUUCAGUUUUCUCCGUCUCAGACUGCUUGACCAGUACUGAUUGUGCAACACAAAUGCAUCGGUAGCUACUUGUUUCCCAUCAUCAUUUCGGUUCCACUGGUAGAAUGCGUGGGUCCUGUUCUUUAUCUCCAAUGUUGAAUGCCCAUAACUAGCUUCCCUGAAUGCAGAGUAAUCUGGCUGUGGAUCUCUAAACUUUCCAGCAAGACCUUCUUGAUUUCCUCCAUCUCCAACAGUUAUGUAAACCGGUGCAGAUUUGUCUGCUACAGGAUAACAUUCACCACUUGAUACAUUGUAGUGAAUAUUUGAGAUUCGAUAUGAUCUCUCAUAAGCAUGAACAUGACCAGCAAAGAUUAUGUCAACUUUGUAACGGAUAAACCACUCUUCAAAGACUGCUCGCAUACUUUCACCUUCCAUGAAGUGUGCUUCAUUGCUGUUAUAUAUUGGGACAUGCAUGAGAACAAUGAGCCAAGGUGUCUCCUCCCUGUUAACCUUUUCGAGUUCUUCUUUGAGCCACACAUACUGAGGUGUGUACUUAACAUAAGGAGAAUAGCUGGAUAGCACAAUUAUAUGAGCAGACGCACGUCUGAUGGCAUACCAGAGAGGACUGCUGCUAUUGGAGGCCGAAUGAGGGGUUGGGUACCGAUAGAGAUAGGAUUUGAAAGGAACGACUUCCCCCAUGUAAGGCAUGUAUUCUAUCUCAUGAUUUCCAACAGACCACAUCCAUGGCUGAUAUGCAGCACUUCUCUCAACAAAACGACCCCAUGAAUCCCAUCGUAUACCAACAUCAUUAUACUUAUAUCUAUCAGCAUAAGAAAGAUCUCCGACAAAUAAGACAGCCUGAGCUUCAGUCUGCAUGUAAUGCUCAAGAGUAGACAGGGAAUUAUAGGUCUGCCCCAAGUCACCAAUUAUUCCAAAUUUGUAAGAAGCAUCUGGGUUAAUCAUUGGAGGUGUUUGAAACCAAAAUUCACGAGAAGAAUUUGGGGAUGGUGAUUCUUCUCGUGAAUUUUGGUGUCAUACUCAAGGCCAUCAAGGAGACAAUGAUGAAUGUAGCCAGAUUUAUAUUUGUAAAAGGUAUAGUUUGUCACUGUCCCUUCAGCAGUAAAAUCAUAUUUUGUUUCUGACACACCAUAUUGCACUUUACUGGACCCUGGAUUAUCAGUUGUCACCCAUGAGAUAAUUACAGCUUUUCCAUCAUAGUCACCUUGGGUUAUAUGUACUUGCUGUGGUGCAUUGUAACCAUUAGGAACAGCAAAUACUUCGUUAUCAAGAGGGAUGUCAGUAGCUGGCCACUCAGACCGAAUGAAAGAACUCGUGAUCCCCGCGUUACCAUUGUUCACAAACGCCGAGAAGACAAAGAAUGUCAAUACGAGUAGAAGCAGCAUGGAUCCCAUCUUAAUAACCUCUAAAAACAAAUACAGGCUGGGAGGAGACA
rnacentral:misc_RNA from 1 species